AAGGGUCCGUAGGCGGUCUUAUAAGUCAGUGGUGAAAUCUCCCCGCUCAACGGGGAAACGGCCAUUGAUACUGUAGGACUUGAAUUAUUAGGAAGUAACUAGAAUAUGUAGUGUAGCGGUGAAAUGCUUAGAGAUUACAUGGAAUACCAAUUGCGAAGGCAGGUUACUACUAAUGGAUUGACGCUGAUGGACGAAAGCGUGGGUAGCGAACAGGAUUAGAUACCCUGGUAGUCCACGCCGUAAACGAUGGAUACUAGCUGUUGGGAGCGAUCUCAGUGGCUAAGCGAAAGUGAUAAGUAUCCCACCUGGGGAGUACGUUCGCAAGAAUGAAACUCAAAGGAAUUGACGGGGGCCCGCACAAGCGGUGGAGCAUGUGGUUUAAUUCGAUGAUACGCGAGGAACCUUACCAAGGCUUAAAUGUAGUUUGACCGGACUGGAAACAGUUUUUUCGCAAGACAAAUUACAAGGUGCUGCAUGGUUGUCGUCAGCUCGUGCCGUGAGGUGUCAGGUUAAGUCCUAUAACGAGCGCAACCCCUGUUGUUAGUUGCCAGCGAGUCAUGUCGGGAACUCUAACGAGACUGCCAGUGCAAACUGUGAGGAAGGUGGGGAUGACGUCAAAUCAUCACGGCCCUUACGCCUUGGGCUACACACGUGCUACAAUGGCCGGUACAGAGAGCAGCCACUGGGUGACCAGGAGCGAAUCUACAAAACCGGUCACAGUUCGGAUCGGAGUCUGC
rnacentral:rRNA from 1 species